AGGUUCCGGUCAUCUUGAGUGUGGUACAGCCAGAUACUCCGCCCAUCUCUGCCCCCCCCCCCACUUCCCCGCUAAAUAGACAGACAUGAACUGGGGCGGGGGGGGGGAGCCUAUUAAAUUGAUUUGUGAAUGAAAAUAGGGGAAUGUUAAAGAUUCGCUGAAAGAAACGCCUGGUUCCAUCAAAAUGUAUCUUGAGCUUCAUUUGAAAGAUGCCAUUGUCCCUACCGACCAAGGUGUUUCCUUUAAAAAAAAACGAAACAGUAAAGGAAUGUGCCAAAAGAAGAAUUAAGGGCGACAUGAUAGCAGUAUUCCAGUAUUCGAAGAGCUGCCACAAAGAAGGGGUAUCAAAUUAUUCUCCAAAAAGCACCAGAGGGCAGGACAAGAAACAAUGGUUGGAAACUAACCAAAGAGAGAAACAAUCUGAAAUUAAGGAGAAACUUCCUAACAGGAUAAUUAACCAAUGGAACAGCUUGCCUUCAGAAAUCGUGCUCCAUCAUUGGAGGUUUUUAAGAAGAAACUAGAGAGCCACUAUAUCUGAAAUGGUAUAGGUUCUCCUGCUUGAGCAGAGGGCUGGACUAGAAGACUCCCAAGAUGGCUGCCAUAUUGGUGAAGAGAGACUAAAACUGACUGCUUAGUUUCUAAGAGUGAAAUGAGAUGGAGGUGAGGUGAUGGCAUGAGAAUGUAUCCCUCAAACAAGAAUCUUUUGCUGCAGCUGAUGGGACAUGAGAGUGAAUUCUGUGUCAGAAAUUGAUAUUUUGCAACCAGCCUGUUUUCCAAGGUGAAGAGCCCGCAAUGGAGGUAGUCGUUCCAAGUCAAGAGGGAAUCUGUAUAGUCCCUCCCAACAGCCACACUGUUGGGGGCAAUCUCCCUGGAGGAUCUAACUCAGGUCACAUCUGGGUUGGGUUGCCUGAAUGCAGUGAGGUCCCAGGAGUUCCCAACUGCCUUCAUUCAUCAUCUUCUGGUCAGCGGAUUGGAACUCAAACUGUUUCAUUCAAAGAGAUUUAUUCCCCUUCCCCUUCCCAAUCCGCUGGGAAUAAAUACCUCAUUAAUUGGGAUAA